UGGAUAAGUAAGAUAUAGGUAUGAAUAGAGAGAAAAUAAAAAAGUCUAAUUUCAAUUCCACUUGGCUAUAAGAAGAUCAUAAAUACCCAGAACCAUAAGCAGAGUUAAAACUAACUUUGACUUACGUAAUAUAACACAUCUCUUUUUGCAAGUAGAAGUUUAUUGCAAAAUAGCAAUACAAUGAAUAGUGAGAACAAACUAGAGGUUGUAUGAUGGUUAAACAAAGACACGGAGUUCUCACAUUGCAAAUGAGGUGCAGGCCAAAAAGGAACAGGAGUUGCGAGCUGAACAAGUUCCUGGUUCAAGAAACAGGGAUCCCUAAGGGGAAAAAGAAAGGGUGAAGAACACCUACCUGCACCUCAAUCCAAUAAUCUUGCCGAAAUGGACCGGGUUACCCUGCAGAUAGACCAUCAUUUUAUCUGUUGUCAAAAUGUAC